UUGUGCUUGCUUCGGCACUAAAGUAUACUAAUUUGGAACCAUACAUCAAAGAUUAACAUGAUCCCUGUGAAAGGAUGACAUGCAUAUUUGUGAAGUAUUUCAUAUUUUU
ensembl:snRNA U6 U6 spliceosomal RNA